rnacentral:lncRNA from 1 species
GUAGCGAAGGGCUGGAGGCAAACACCGAGCUCCCCCUGAGCCGCCUGGGAGCAGGGAGGGUUCUGCUACCCUGAGGUGCCCUCCCCGCGGGGCAGAGGGGACCAGCCCAACAUGGCUUCCAACACAGAAACCAGAAGGACCCAAUAAGAGACCAAAGACACGACUGGUAAUACAGAAAGGAGGGUGAUGCUGUGUGCAAGGCAGAUACAAGAUGGUUUUUCCAUAAGAGGAAGUGAUCAUGGCAACCAUGACCAAGAGGCUGUUGGGAAGGUGGGAUGACCUAGGAUUGACCUUGGACUUGACAUCACAGAAGCCAUUUCAACCUUCACAGGUGGGAGGAAGUCACAGCAUGUGCUUCUGAACCUGUGCUUGCCUUGAGGAACAACGGCAUGACACGGGGAUGUGGACGCUUUCAACCAGAAGAUUCUGUACGAUAGUGUCGGCACACAAGGAGUGUUCCG